CCAAAAACAUAGCCCUUAAUAAUAAAAAAUUAGAGGUGUAACCUGCCCAAUGAUUUAAUAAUAUAAUUUAAAUAAUAAAAAAAAAAAAUUAAAUGGCUGCAGUAACCAUGACUGUAAAAAUGUAGCAUAAUAAUUCGCCACUUAAUUAGUGGAUAGUAUGAAUGGUUAAACGAAAAUUCCACUGUCUUAUAAAAUAUAAUAGAAAAUUUAAAUCAUAGUUAAGAUGCUAUGUGAAACUGUAAGACGAAAAGACCCUAUAAAGCUUAACUAUAAAUCUUAAUAAAAAACUUGAAACCAAAACAAUCAUUAAGAUUUGGUAGUUUCAUUGGGGCGAUGAUCUCUAAAAAUAAACAGAGAUAAACUUAUAUAAUAAUAUAAUUUUACUGUUUAAUUUAUAAAUUUAACAGUUACAAAGUAGAGUAUAAUGACCCAUUAUUUUAAUUAAUAAAAAAUAAUGAACAAUAAAUAAAAGCUACUUUAGGGAUAACAGGAUAAUAAUUUCUUAGAGACCUAAUCGAAGAAAAAGUUUAUCACCUCGAUGUUGAAUUAAGAUAACCUAAUGACGCAGCAGUAAUUAAAGGUAGGUC
rnacentral:rRNA from 1 species